rnacentral:rRNA from 1 species
GGUCAUAUUAUAUUGAAACACCAGUUCUCUUAUGAUCACUGAAGUUCAGCAACAUUAAGUUUGUUCACUACCUAGAUGGGUGACUGCUUGGGAAUACCUUGUGCUGUAA